UUGCUCCGUCAUCUGUGGAUGCAGUGGUCACUUCUACUUGGGUGCCGUGCCCCGCACUGCAUUUCUCCUGCUCACCGGCCCUGGAAGCAGGCCUGUGUUGGAUGUUUCCUCCUGUGUCUGUCAUCAGAUGCUACCACAGCGCAGCCAGAACUUCACAGAAGUUGUUCCCUGAGUGUGGCCUCCAAGCCGAAAGCUCAGGAUGAGUGUGCCAGGCUUGGUCUGAAAACAGACCAAGUAUCUCAAUCCCAGAAGGGCUGGGCUGCGCGUCUCCACAAAUGCAGCAGCACCUGCUGCUCCCUCUGAAACGUCAAGGACGUCACAGCUGAUCGCUUUCAACGCCAUGGGGAUUUUGCACCUGACAUGAGUCAGCCACCCCGCCCCACCGAAUUUCUGCCCAUAUCCUGGGGUUUCUGGAACAGAAUAUGAGGUCCUUAUUACCAAGUGGUAGACAAGCAUGGGAUUUUGAUGGACAUUUCUCCACUCCAUCCUGUUUAUUCUCCCACGCAGCACCUCCUUCCCUGCCCUGAGUCCUUGUGCUCACUGGUCCUGACCCAUCCAUCACCCCCGGGAAAGGGAGGGACGUGCUUGCUGACUGACUCAUGGGGCUGCAGCUAAUAGAGGACUCAUAGUCCACCCACGGAAGCUCGGAAGACGCUGGAAAAGGGCUUCGCAUUCUCUCCCCAUUGGCUCUGGGAGAGCAGACAGAUUCGCCUCGUCCUGCAGGUGUGGCUGCAUCUCCAAUAAGCCAAGAUGCCUGGUCGGAGUCCUUGGAGAAAGCUUCGUGCAGGAGGCAGAGCGGGCCAUGAGGGUGCACGUGGAGCAGAGGGGCCCAACCUCCUUGUUCAGCGAUCCCCAGCUGCAGAGGUCGCUGGGCAGGCAAAUGGCCCGGGAACUGGGGAUUCACUGGAGCCUCGGGCGCCCCUGAGCCGUGCUUGACAGCCUGCUGUCCUGCACCUUGUCACGAGCCUCCUGUACGGCUCACCAUGGACUGUCUUCUAUGCCUGUUUAGAAAAUAUAUUUGAUGAAAGGUUUUCACUUAAUUCUCCAGUACUGAAAGCUUCAUUUAUUACAGCUCAGACUGAGUGAAGUGUGGACGUAGAAGGGCCACUUCUUGGU